GAUGCAUCAACCUCUACGCCCACCAGCAGCCAAGUGCUAAUUUUUGAAAGUACACUGUAAUGCAUCCAAUGUAGACAAUGGUGUGGGUGAAUUUAAAGCUGCUUUUUAGUAAAUUCACAAGGAAAUAUCUGAGUCGGUUAAAAAGAAGUUCCUCUUUUCCGACUACAUUUCCAGUCAUAGGAACAAUGAGAUCCUCGGGAAGAUACAAAAAUGAAUGUGACAACCCUGGCGUACGACUGCUUCAGGAAAUCUUCAUAUUCUCUCUGACUUUGGAGCAACUAGAGAAACUUUUAAACAAAGAAUUGCUUAACGUUCAUCAUGAUGGAUCCAGGUCCUAUCACCCCAGGCUCUUUCCUAAGGCCUGGCCCUCACUCCUACUGUUCUUUCCUCCUGCUGUCAUCUCCUCAGGUCUCUGGAACAUUCCAAUAGACCAAAUUUGGAAAAGAAAGCCAUUACAUUGUGGAAAAUUUAAAGGCUAAGACAUUCCAAAGACAAAUGAUGAAUCGAAAACAGUAUCGACAAAAUUUAACUUCAGUUUAUAGCCGACAAACUGCUACAAUUUUGCACAUGGGUGCACAUGUGGAAGCUUUUCCAUAAGAGACAGCAGCCACCACAAAUAUUUGUGAAGAUGUGCUUUCUCCUUUGUCUAGGGUUUACGCUCUCCAGUUUAGAUUGAAUUCAUGUGGUAUCCUGGGUUGUUCAUUGUUGUAAUGUUUUACUUUGUUCGGAAAUUGAUGCUAUUGUCAUUCAACUCUCUGAGUGACACAUCAACACAGCCUUCUUUGAGUGCCAAGCAAUAUGGAUUACAGAGUAAACACAGUGCAGAAACCACAAGUUCUCAAGCCUGCAAAUCACGAUUAGUUCAGCAAGAAUCCAGGACACUGAAGGAAAGAUGAAGAGAAACAACCCUUCAAAAGUGAAGAAGGAGCAAUUAUCACCUCUAUAUAUUUUGAAUCAUACUCUAGGAAAUGUUAGAAUAAAAGAUGAAAAUUGAAGACUAUCUCUUUGUGCAAUUAAUCUUUAUGGAAAUGACCUCCACUGAUCAAAGGUAUUGGAAGUUAAAGGUUUUCCGCUAAGUUUGGAGCUGAAGAAAAAAGCUGACAGUUGAAAUGACCAACUUCACCUUAAGUGUAUUGAGUAAAAUGAUUUUGUAUGAAGCUUAAAAUAAAAACAAACCUGCUUUGCCCCCAAAUUUGGUUAUCUUUCUCUGCAAUGCUGUAAGAAAUCAUACUGUGUUGAGAAUGAUAUUGUUGCAGUAAGAUUUAAUGUUGUUUAUUGAAACUUGGAGUUUAAAAAUUGGAUUAGAUUCACAUUGUUCUGCUUUAGUGAACUUGAUCUGGAAUGUGAUGC
rnacentral:lncRNA from 1 species